rnacentral:rRNA from 1 species
AUUGAACGCUAGCGGCAGGCCUAACACAUGCAAGUCGAGCGAGCGGCGGACGGGUGAGUAAUGUAUGGGGGCAGCCCGAUAGAGGGGGAUAACUACUGGAAACGGAAGCGCAUACCGCAUACUAUCGGAUAACACAUAUGGGAUUAGCUAGUAGGUGAGGUAAUGGCUCACCUAGGCGACAAUCCCUAGCUGGUCUGAGAGGAUGAUCAGCCACACUGGGACUGAGACACGGCCCAGACUCCUACGGCGGCAGCAGUGGGGAAUAUUGCACAAUGGGCGCAAGCCUGAUGCAGCCAUGCCGCGUGUAUGAAGAAGGCCCUAGGGUUGUAAAGUACUUUCAGUCGGGAGGCGUUACCGACAGAAGAAGCACCGGCUAACUCCGUGCCAGCAGCCGCGGUAAUAC